CGCGCGCGCGCAUGCGCACUUCAAGUCUUCACCGACAUUCGUCUCCCGUUCUUCCUUUCGCUACUGAUCCUUGCUACCGGUGACAGUGGGUACGCCAGAAUCUUCCUCUCCCGUCAUCCUUAUCUAGUGUUUUUCCUUGGUUCCACGAUGGCCUCUCUUCCUUCUUGGUUCAUCGUCACUGUCGUCAUCAUAAGCGUGGGCUGUAGGACAUCCGUUGCUACCAUGGAAGUUCGAUCGUGUGGUCUUCUCCAUAUUCUUUCCAUUAAUUAGUCGUUGGUCCUCUCUUCUGCCUUCCCUUUUGUUGCUGUGGUCGAAAACCUCUUCCUCUUCUCAUUUCUUCUUAACGGUACUGUCUUGGGGACUUCAGAAGAAGAGAAGCUUGAUUGAAGUUGUAAGAAAGGAAUUUUAUGAACUUGGUGAUAUAUUAGAAGCAUUGAUUUGUGAAGAUCCCAUUAUCCAUCGUCAUGCCCUAGCUUCUUUGAGCACAUAAUUGCCUCCAUAAUCAGAGCUUAGUGAAGAAUCAGAGCCUUUGCAAGCGGUCGGGCUAUUGCUCUGUGAAGAAUUAGAGCAUUCUUAUGCUCUUGCUCUAACAACUUGGUGGAAUCUAUUCGAGCUAUUCUGUUCUACAAUUUCAUUCUGCAUUGACUAAAGAAAUUCUCAAGAAAUUAUUGGUGAAACUUAUUGAGAAGUAAGGAACAAGCCGAGCCCUAUUUUGUACAAGGGGAACCCUUUUGGUACCAAAGGGUUGAGGUCCAGGCGAAGGAUCCAGUGAUGGACGGGGAAAUGACCAAUGCUAGGGGUUUACUUGUGAUUUGUAACUGGCUCUUAAGAAAGGUAAACGCAAAGGUCAUAAUGACCUUAAUGUUCUCAGGGGUGGCCCCAGCAUUAACCCUAGCAAUGGUCCUAGCGUCGAUCCCAGCGGUGGCCCCAAUGUCGACCCCAGCAGUGGCCCUGAUGAUGUAGCUAAUGGUGAUGCUUCCAGUGUUGCUCCUAGUCUGACAAUGAAUGAUAAUCUACUUCAGGAGGAGGCAACUGAGAUUAGAAAGUGCUUAAUGUUGAUGACAAAAGUGAAUAGACGGAGGAUAGCUGGACAAAAAUAUCCCCUCCAAUGGAAUGCUAAAGGGCAAUUGAUUAAGGACAAUAAAGAUAAAUUCAUUAGCUAUAUUGAAGCUGUUGCAAAAGUAAAUGUGCCUAUCACACUCAGAAAUUAAAAGAAGGCAGAUCAUCUACGAGAUUGAGCGAGAAGGCACAGGAGUUAGUAGCAUAUCCUGCCAUGAUCUUUUUAUAGAAGGCUGAACUAACAAAGAGACAUUACAGAUGAGCAUGUUCAGGAGAUAGUUAAUAAAUGUGCUGCUAUCUUAGAUGAAGUCUCAAAGGGUGAGCAUCCGGAGGAUGAAGAUAUCUUGGGUUAGGCAUUGGAUAAUCCUGACCACCCCGAACGUGUUAAGGGUGUUGGUUUUAGCAUUAUCAAGAAGCAAGUAUUUGGGACUACAAAGCCAUCAAAAGGUGCAAUGCCUUCUUCAGCUAAGUUUAAUACACUAAAAGAUGAGGUUGAUAGGCUACAUCAGUUUGUUGAUGUGUUGCUCACGUCCCAAGGAAAGACAUCCACUCAUGUGGAAAUUAGUCCUAAUAGUAAGAGAGACAGUUGCAACGUAACUCAGCCUUCUUAUCCAAACCUUCCUGAGGGUGAAGCCGAAUGUGAGUUUUUGACAAACAGUCCAGAUCGCUGUGUGGUUGCAAUUGGUAUAAUGUAUAAUGUUCCUGAGGGCACUAUACAUAAUGUGCCAAUUCUUCUACGCCACGUAUGAGUUUGUCUAAAAGUUUCUUUGGACGACAACUAUCAGUUGCCCAUUCCUACGGAGGAUGUGAUGACUGUAGGAGAUGCAUUGGGCACCUUUGUUGCAUGGCCCACUGCCCUGAUAAAGGCCGAUAUCUAACAAAGAUAAGUCCAAGGAAAAAGACUUCCUCAGUAAACAAUCAACUGGCCAUGAUUCAAAGAUUAUCGCACCUCCCCUGCUUCAAAAGAUGGAGCCUCAAUUGUCACAUAAAUUCCUGACUUCACUAGGGGUAUAUGCAGACAUGCAAAGGAGUAUUCAUGAUUUUAUUGCUGUAGACGUCCCAUUUGAGCAUGGCAUGUAUGACAAAGAUUAUAUUAAUCACAUAACGCUCGAAGUCAUAGAUGAAGUACUCCACUAUGGCAUGAUUAGCAUGACCGUCAUGGAUUUUUAUUUAAGGUUUCUCUAUCUUACAAUCGUCGUGCCCCACAACCUUACUAGGAUGUUCACCUUCAUUUGUCCUUAUGACAUUACUGCUUUUUGUGACAUUCGGGACUCUGAUCAUGAAGAUCAAGCAAAGCGGCUGUGUGAUUCAUUCAAAGCCAGGACUACUAAAAAAAGGGGGAGGUUAUUCUUGAUACCUUACGUGUAAGGGGAUCAUUGGAUGCUAAUUGCCCUCAAUUCGGCUGAAGAAAAAUAUAAGAAAUUGCCAUCUAUUACUUAUGUUCUGCUGGCGGACAACUAGAUAAUCACAAAAAUAUGACGGAAUUAAUCAACAAGGCUGUGUUUUUUUUACUACACGUAUGAAUCUUUAACUGUCCUUAGGGUCAAACCAUUUGACCAGUUGUUCACAUGGACAAUAAUAAGGUACUCGCGUCAAAGACUAGAUUUAGUGGACUAUGGAUAUUGCAUGAUGAGAUUCAUUAAGGACAUCAUCACUCACACCAAGACUUCAAUCCCUACCAAGUAUUAUGAUAACGCUUAUUGUGAAGAAUUUGGGGAUGCUCACAUCAAUGAAGUUGUGGAAGAGUGGUGCCAACAUAUGUUUCAACUAUGGAUCAUGAAAAAUUCAUGCAUUUAGUGAGUGCACAUUUGGUCUAGCUUGAAGGCAAAAAGAAUGUGGCUUAGGAUAGAAUUAUUGUUUCAUUUUUUAGGAUAGAAUUGUGAUUUAGGAUUAAGAUUUGCAACUUUUUUGUUUAUAAUUAAUGUGUACUAUG